rnacentral:piRNA from 1 species
UAACGCCUAAUAUGAUAAAGUAUCCCUUGU